rnacentral:rRNA from 1 species
UGGGGAAUCGUUCCGCAAUGGACGAAAGUCUGACGGAGCAACGCCGCGUGUAUGAUGAAGGUCUUCGGAUUGUAAAGUACUGUCAUUGGGGAAGAACGGUUUUCUUGAAAAGAUUGAGAAGACAUGACGGUACCCAAGGAGGAAGCCCCGGCUAACUACGUGCCAGCAGCCGCGGUAAUACGUAGGGGGCAAGCGUUGUCCGGAAUUAUUGGGCGUAAAGGGCGCGUAGGCGGGCUUUUAAGUCCGGUGUGAAAGAUCAGGGCUCAACCCUGAGAGUGCAUCGAAACUGGAGGCCUUGAGGACAGGAGAGGAAAGUGGAAUUCCACGUGUAGCGGUGAAAUGCGUAGAUAUGUGGAGGAACACCAGUGGCGAAGGCGACUUUCUGGACUGUAACUGACGCUGAGGCGCGAAAAGCGUGGGGAGCAAACAGGAUUAGAUACCCUGGUAGUCCACGCCGUAAACGAUGAGUGCUAGGUGUAGA